CUCCCAAAAGGGCCAAGGGACAGGAGCAGGGGCUGCCAUGCCUUGGCUCCCUGAUGACUGGCCAGGACCCUCCCAGGGCUCUGCCCCCAGUGAUCCCACACAACCCCAGCCCUGGGAAGGGCUGCUGCCAUUGGAGAGGAAGCAUUAUUUAGCUGGAGCAUAGACUGGAGCUCUGUACAGCAGGACCUUUUUUUCAAAAGGCACUACAAAGAAAUGUUAUGAAGCAAUAUAUUGCCUGGAUCAAAUGCACCAACACCAGGAUCUACCCUGCUUGUUUCUCUGGGAGAUCACCAGGACAUAUGACAGCAUCCUCAGCGAGCUGCAGGGGAGCUAGAGAUGGGCUUCACUCAGAGUAGUGUGGGUGUGUGGUCCCAGGCUCCAGUCUGGACUCUGGAAGUUUUCACCAGCCACACUUUGGUCUGAAUCUUAUUUCUAGAAGAUUGCAUCAUAUCACAGCCAGUAGGUUGCUUGUCCCACAUUCUUCACAGCUUCAGGCAAGUCCACUUGCUUAACAGUUUCCUGUGAUGCUCCUUGAUGCUUGAUUAAUUCUGUAUCAUGGUGAGAUUAAAAAGACAAAAAGCCUUUUUCCCCCCCUACUGCUCCUUUUC
rnacentral:lncRNA from 1 species